rnacentral:rRNA from 1 species
GACGAAGGUGGCUAGCGUUGCUCGGAUUUACUGGGCAUAAAGCGCGCGUAGGUGGUCCUGUAAGCGGGGGAUGAAAGCCCAUGGCUCACCCAUGGAACUGUCCCUCGGACUGCAGGGCUGGAGGGCGGGAGGGGAGAAUGGAAUUCCCGGUGUAGAGGUGAAAUUCGUAGAUAUCGGGAGGAACACCAGUGGCGAAGGCGGCGACCUGGGCCAAUACUGACGCUGAGGUGCGAAAGCGUGGGGAGCAAACAGG